GGGAGUGGCAAGCGUUAUCCGGAAUUAUUGGGCGUAAAGCGUCCGCAGGCGGCCCUUCAAGUCUGCUGUUAAAAAGUGGAGCUUAACUCCAUCAUGGCAGUGGAAACUGUUGGGCUUGAGUGUGGUAGGGGCAGAGGGAAUUCCCGGUGUAGCGGUGAAAUGCGUAGAUAUCGGGAAGAACACCAGUGGCGAAGGCGCUCUGCUGGGCCAUCACUGACGCUCAUGGACGAAAGCCAGGGGAGCGAAAGGGAUUAGAUACCCCUGUAGUCCUGGCCGUAAACGAUGAACACUAGGUGUCGGGGGAAUCGACCCCCUCGGUGUCGUUAGCCAACGCGUUAAGUGUUCCGCCUGGGGAGUACGCACGCAAGUGUGAAACUCAAAGGAAUUGACGGGGGCCCGCACAACCGUGGAGUAUUUGGUUUAAUUCCA
rnacentral:rRNA from 1 species